rnacentral:rRNA from 1 species
GACGAACGCUGGCGGCGUGCCUAAUACAUGCAAGUCGAGCGCAGGAAGCUGACGGAACUCUUCGGAGGGAAGGCAGUGGAAUGAGCGGCGGACGGGUGAGUAACACGUAAGGAACCUGCCUCAAGGAUUGGGAUAACUCCGAGAAAUCGGAGCUAAUACCGGAUAGUUCAACGGACCGCAUGGUCCGCUGAUGAAAGGCGCUCCGGCGUCACCUUGAGAUGGCCUUGCGGUGCAUUAGCUAGUUGGUGGGGUAACGGCCCACCAAGGCGACGAUGCAUAGCCGACCUGAGAGGGGGAUCGGCCACACUGGGACUGAGACACGGCCCAGACUCCGACGGGAGGAAGCAGUAGGGAAUCUUCCACAAUGGACGAAAGUCUGAUGGAGCAACGCCGCGUGAGUGAUGAAGGUUUUCGGAUCGUAAAACUCUGUUGUAAGGGAAGAACACGUACGAGAGGGAAUGCUCGUACCUUGACGGUACCUUACGAGAAAGCCACGGCUAACUACGUGCCAGCAGCCGCCGUAAGAC